rnacentral:rRNA from 1 species
CCUACGGGACGCAGCAGUGAGGAAUAUUGGUCAAUGGCCGGAAGGCUGAACCAGCCAAGCCGUGUGAAGGACGAAGGUGCCAAGCAUUGUAAACUUCUUUUGUCAAGGGACAAAAUCAGGCUCGAGAGCCUGACCGAGGGUACUUGAAGAAAAAGCAUCGGCUAACUCCGUGCCAGCAGCCGCGGUAAUACGGAGGAUGCGGGCGUUAUCCGGAUUUAUUGGGUUUAAAGGGUGCGUAGGCGGGUUAUCAAGUCAGCGGUAAAAUCGUGGAGCUCAACUCCAUCCAGCCGUUGAAACUGAUGAUC